rnacentral:lncRNA from 1 species
CUCUACUGUUAGUAUUGCAAAGUAUGUAUGGGAAACACAGAGAAUUGGAGCUGCGUUGAAUGCAAACUUGAGGUGUUUCCCUUGAGGAAUUCUUGUCUUCAAACGUCUGCAGAGUAAUGGACCAUGUUACAACUUUCCUGUUCAUCUGUGAACCAUGAAAAUGGAUGGCACUGAUGCAUUAGACCCUCAGCAGCCUGCAAUUGCAAAUCUGCGAGGUUUCAUUCGGCCCAUAAAGCAAACAUUUGAACUUACACAGAAUGAGCACUUAAAUACGGGUGCAAUAAAUGAAGGGAAAAACCUCAGCCGUUUCUCCAUUCUGAAGAUAUAGCAAGCACCGGGAAAUCUAAGAUUUUUCAUCAACAAUAUCUUCUGCCAGCCCAGUUUGGGGGGAAAAACCCCUUUUACAUUUUUCUUCAGUAAAGUACUGGAACUUACUUUUCCCUGUCUGUGCUAAUGAGCUGAUUUUCAGCUGAUAGAAAACAAAAUGAUAGAGUACUUUUUUCCUUGGCCAAGUAUUUUCUCAUUUGUAUUUAAUUUCAUAAAUUAGACAGCCAGUGAAAUUAGACCUCAAACUAGGUCCUGAUGGAUAAUGAAUGUUAUGUCACCUUUAACAGUGAAGUGGUUAUUAUAGGUCACUUUCUAAUUUCAUAUUUUCCCUUUUGCUUUCUGCUGCCUUCAGGGUAUAUAGUGUAUCUCUAACCUGAUUUUUCAAGGUUAUUUUUGGAGCAGUUUCUUAAAACAGGCAUUCCCUAACUUGCUCAUUUAAUUAAUGAAAAAUUGAACUGAUGCCAUGGAUAUAAAAACAAAUGUAAUGUUUGAUUGUCAGUGUUUCUGAUUUGGCAAAAAGGAAUCAUCUCUAUUUUUUUGCAAACAAUAUCAAAGUGCAUAUUUUCUCUCA